UCAGACGAUGCGUCAUGCAUAUCAAUAAGCGGAGGAAAAGAAACUAACAAGGAUUCCCUAGUAACGGCGAGUGAAGCGGGAAGAGCUCAAAUUUGAAAUCUUCAAGGUUUUACCUUGACGAAUUGUAGUUUAAAGAAGUGUUUUCUGUUGAAGUUUUGGUAAAAGUUCUUUGGAAUAGGACAUCAUAGAGGGUGAGAAUCCCGUAUUUGAUCCAUUAUUUCCAGCUUUGUGAUACACUUUCAAAGAGUCGGAUUGUUUGGGAAUGCAGUCCAAAAUGGGUGGUAAAUUUCAUCUAAAGCUAAAUAUUGGCGAGAGACCGAUAGCGAACAAGUACCGUGAGGGAAAGAUGAAAAGAACUUUGAAAAGAGAGUUAAACAGUACGUGAAAUUGUCAAAAGGGAAGCGUUUGACACCAGUGUUGUUUUCUCGAAAAUCAAUUAAAAAGAGUUGGAUUUUGUGUUGUAUUGACCUUAACAGCUUGCUUCACUCUUUUCCUGCUUUUUUUAAUGCACUUUUCGUUUAACAAGUCAACAUCAGUUUCUUUUGUUGUAAAAGGGUCAUUGGAAGGUGGCUUUCUCUUCGGAGAAAGUGUUUAUAGCCUUUGAUCUCUGCAAUCGGAGAGACUGAGGUCUGCAGCGUAGAUCCUUCGGGGUUAGAUACAUUUGUGCUAAGUUAUAGCCUUUCAUAGACAACUUGUUGACUAUGAUCAGUCAUGUAACUUACUCGCUUAUGCUACUUUACCUACGCUUAGGAUGUUGAUAUGCAUGACUGAUAU
rnacentral:rRNA from 1 species